UUUUUACCGUCAUUUUUAAUUUAAUUGAAUUCAAAAUUAUUGCUCUUUAAAACGCGUAGAAAAAAUCACUGAAAGUUUUGCCUAAAGACCCAUAUAAAAAAUUACGAAAAUAGGACAAGGGAAUAGCGUAGAAAAUGCUUUAUUCAUUGAGGGCCGCACGCAUAAAUGUUUAAAUAAACUGAAGCGAACUGAAAAUGUAAAUAUAUGCAUUGCCUACCGUAAAUAGAUUUGUAUGGAAAUUUUAUGUACAUACAUACAUACAUGUGUAUAUGAGUAUGUACGGGCGUUUAAGUGUAUAAAUUUCUGUUGGUAGAAUAAUUUUUGUUAAAUAUUUAGUAAUUCAAUAAACUUGUAAAAUAUUUUGAUUUUCCAACGAAACUGUGUAACAAUUCAAUUUAAAAUGUUAUAUUGAAUAUGAAAAAAAAAACAAGAAAUAAGAGAAAGUGAAAAGAGAAACUGAGAUUUGGCAUAUCAAAAAUGUAUGGCAAAUAAUUGGUUGCAAAUAAAAGUAAAUAAAAUCAAUAAAAUAUGAA